UUGGAGUUGAUAAUGUGGGGAUCAUGGCGCUAAGAAGGUGCGAUUCAGAGAAUACUGCUCUGAAUAGCUAGGCAUAUUUGUUGUGUUUCUCCGACGGAGUUGAUAAUAUGAAUAUGUGAUGUGUGCUAAUGGUUACACCCACAUGGCUGGGAUGACCAGGAGUACAUUCCUAACCAUGAGGACAAUAAGCCAGAGCCAGAGGUAGUAGAGCCUUACAGUUGUUGCUAGUUGCUUGAACACAAGGAUGUCGUCACCACGAGAGCCUUUUGCCGCUCUUGCUAAUCUUGUUAACCACGAUCAAUUGACUUUCAGCCCGAAUUGUUUCUUUUGUUUACAGCUGGUUGGGCAUUGUACAUAUAGACCAUCAGCUGCCCAAAUGGAUAAGCCGACGAAUUACCAAAAUUAGUUGUCGAGUCAUUCCGUUGUCACCUGCAAUAUUGUAUCCAGUGACUCAAAAUUAGACACUACUGUUGCAAUCAGGACGUCAUACAUAAAAUUUAGUUUGGUUUCAAUAACAAGUGGCGGCUAUAUAUAGAUUAAAAUGCAAAUAUCAAAGGAGUGGCGUAUUCAUGCACAUAUUGAGGACACAUAUCUACUCUGAGCAAACAUCAAAAGUAUCGCAAUGUAAGGUCGGAGAUGGAGAACGAAGAGGCAUAAACGUAAUCUGGUUUCCCCACGGGGAAGUGGAGGGCUAAUAAUAUUGAGAAGAUACCUGUCAUGGGGUGGUGCGUUGAAGGUUCUGCAUCUACACGACGAGAGCGAAGCUCUGUCAAUAGCUGUGGAAUGGUUAAGAAUAUCAGCAUGCGCAACUUGAUUGCACUAAUUAAUUUCCCAACAAAGUUAGUUAAGCUGGUGAGGUCGGCCUGGAGGCUUUGCCUCCAUGAUGGAAGCAACUUGCCUAAGCUUUAAAAAACAAGACACGCCACAGCAUCAGCGUGCUCUUGUAUUUAAACAAACGCCGGUAGUGAGGCGUAGCAAGCAACUUCUCAACAAUGUCAAUAGCGGCACUCUUAUUGCCCGCGCUGCUCCUACUGCCGUCGUUGUUAGCAGCCACCGCAGUCGCGGAGGGCCGCACCAUCACCGUGUCACCGACAUGUCAGGGUAGCUGUGGCGGCGUUGACAUCCCUUACCCCUUCGGCAUCGGCGCCGGCUGCUUCCUCAAGGGCUUCGAGAUCAACUGCACAGAGGCCGGUGGCGCCGGCCCCGUGUCGCUCAUCGCCAACACGUCCAUCCAGGUGGUCAGCCUCUCCGCCGAUCCACCCGAGUCACGGGUGCUGCUUCCCAUUAGGUGGCAGUGCUAUGAACUGAACGUCUCCGACGGUAAAGUGGUAGGCAAUAUGGAAGACACGAGCUUCUUCAACCACCAGAAGAACAUACCUAGCCAAGGCAUAUACCGCAUCUCCAACAAGCACAAUAUGCUCUUCGUCCUCGGCUGCGCCACCAUCGGCAUCGUGAAGACCUUCGAGAGCCGAACACUGGCCUCCGCCUCCGGGUGCAUGUCCUUCUGCCGCAGUGCCACGGCAGCACAGAACGGCCAGUGCGCCGGCGCCGGGUGCUGCAAGGUAGGCAUCCAGCCAGAGCUCACGAGCAUCGUGUUCGAGUUCCCUAACAUCAGGAAAGAGAUGCCACAAAUGCUCAACCACAGCCCAUGCGACUACGCCUUCAUCGUCGACGAGGACAACUACACCUUCCAGAGCUCCGACCUGCGGCACAUGGACAGAACCCGGACCAUGCCGGCGCGCCUUGACUGGGCUAUCCGUGAAAUGCCGUCCUGCGCCGACGCCAAGGACGCGGCAGAUCAGUACGCCUGCAAGAGCAAUCACAGCGAGUGCGUCGACUCCACCAAUGGGACUGGCUAUGCCUGUAAGUGCUCCCAAGGCUACGAGGGCAACCCCUACCUUGUCGGCGAAAGCGGAUGCACCGGUAAGCACCACUCUGCAUCUCUCUUUUCUUACACUCCUCCGCUCCUUACUGCUCUGCCACCACCGGCGCCUAUUCUUAGCCACCCUCCGCUACCCCAAGUGCAAACCGCAAGUUUGUCUCACACUCCACCACCGCCGGAUUCGUCGCUGCACACCGUCCCCUGGCUCGACCCAGCCAGCCGGCCCUUUCGGCCACUUCAUCCUAGUGCACAUGCAUGUGGAUCUCCUCCUAUGCCUGCCAUUAGCCUUCUUAGGCUUUCCACUGCAUGUGGGCAUCUUGAAGAACCGCAAACCAAGGUCUUCCUCUUGCAACAUCUUCAACCAGACACCUUUGCUCGGAAGUUCACUGCUGACGUCCUGUUCUGGUGCUACCUGCACUCGAUCCUCAAUUUGAUCUUAGAACCUGAGUGCAAAGCUUCUCAUCAUCAGUAUAAAAUUCACAUGUUUUUCGCCCCCCCCCCCUAAUGCGCCUUCAACCUUUCAAAAAGGAACAGUCAUUACAUCAAUAUAUUGUUGGGACAGUAAGACAGCUAGCGCAAUGGAUCAAAAGAAUAUCUAAAAAGAUACCAAUGGAGCAGUUGACAAUAUGGCGUAAAUUCAGCGAUAACUAGUGGUGUACACUGAUAAUAAUUUAUUUAUGUAUGCAUUCCGCAGAUAUCAAUGAAUGCGACGAUCAAGGGAAGUAUCCUUGCUGGCAGCCAGGAAUAUGUGCGAACAACGAAGGAUCUUAUGACUGCACCUGUCCUCCGGGUUAUCGUAACCAUGACGCCAAAAUAGAAAAGUGUACCUUACUUCCUUCAAGUUUCCCACUGGCAGCAAAGAUCUCCAUAGGUAUAUAUACAUCGAUUUUCUCUUUUGUUAGACCAAGGGAGAUUUCAUUCGUGGCAUUUAAAUAUUAAUUUUUUGUGUCUAACUGGAAUAAGGGACUUAUUUUCACUGUAUACGAGAAUCGAUCUCUUGCCAAAGGAAUACCCUGCAAGUUAAUAAAAAAUUAUGUUUUGAAAGACUAUAUUUAAGAACUUCAAUAGUUUCAUUGCGAAUGCAUGAGAUGCGCAAUUCACAUAUAUACCACACAUUUGUUUUAGAAACAAAUACCUUAGAUUAUGGAUCAACUCUCCCAAAUGGUAUAGCUAAUUGUUGUUUUUACGUAAAGCAGUUGUUAGCACUACCUAUCCACUUUGUAUUGCUAUGUUUGUGGCCAAAAUUAACAUGCAUGAAUGCAUAAUAUCUCUAUGCAUGAUCAUUGUAGGUGUCAUUUUGGGCUCCUCCUUAUUAGUUGUUGCUCUACUUUCGACGCUACUGAGGCUCCAAAGGAAAAGAACGAAGGGCUUUUUUAAGAAGAAUGGAGGUUUGGUCCUUUGAGAUGUGAGAACUUUAAAUAUCUUCACAAAGAAGGAGAUAAACAAAAUCACCAAGAACCAAUCAGAGGUCCUUGGUAAAGGGUGCUUUGGCAAAGUAUACAAAGGGAGUCUUCCAGAUGGUACGACAGUGGCAGUAAAAACCUCCAUCAAGAUAAACAAAGUUCGAAAGGAGGAAUUUACCAAGGAAGUGGAGAUCCAGUCACAGAUGAUCCACAAGAACAUCAUCAAACUCAUCGGCUGCUGCUUGGAGGUGGAUGUUCCGAUGUUGGUGUAUGAGUUCGCUGCUAAUGGGAGUCUGCAAGACAUCCUCCAUGGUAACACUCGCCUCUCUAAUUUCUCACUAGACAUGCGACUGGAUAUUGCAAUUGAUGCUGCAGAAGGGUUAUCUUAUAUGCACUCAUCAACAAGUCGUACCAUCCGGCAUGGGGAUGUCAAGCCAGCCAACAUACUAUUAGAUGAAAAGAACAUGCCAAAAAUCUCGGAUUUUGGGACAUCGAAGUUUCUUACAAAGGACAAAGAUCACACCGGGCUUGUUGUAGGCAGCAUGGAAUAUAUAGACCCGAUGUUCCGUGAAACAGGACAAUUAACACAGAAGAGUGAUGUUUACAACUUUGGAGUUGUACUCUUGGAACUCAUCACCAGAAAGCCAAUUGUGUAUGAUGGAAAUCAUAGGCUCGUAGUUGAUUUCUGUGAUGUUUAUCAGAAAGAAAACAGUGGAGAGGCAAUGUUUGACAAAGAUAUUGCAACUGAAGAAGAUACUUACAUACUGGAAGAGAUUGGCAGACUGGCUGUGAAGUGUUUAGCACAUGUUGUAGAAGAUCGUCCAGAGAUGAAGGAGGUAGCAGAACGACUUGCCAUGCUUAGAAGAGCUAGGAGAAGUGGGAACAUAAACAACAAAAGCCCCAAUUACUUUGAGGAAAUUUAAGGUGCUCCCUAGAGCAUUGCUUCUGAGAUUAGUUAACUAGUAGAAAAAAAUGUACCGUAUUUCUGUAUCUUAUAUCUUCAGUGUAAUGAAUAUUGACUAUUGUAUCGUGCCAUAAAGUCUGUUGCAGUAAAUAGUUAUCAAACUCACAUGGUAGCUUUGUUGGUGUAUAUCACCUUGUUCUUCGAAGUGUUAAUAUGCUGUACACUAUUCUAAAUGACAACAUUGAGAUCGACAUCUGCCAGGAGUAAAUGAUUAAUUCCUAGAGUUUUCUUGACGCCACGUGAUAUUCAGUACCUUAGAAUCCCUUUUAGGAUUGUCGAAACCGAUGUCCAUUGAAAACAGAGCAUAUCAGAGUUAUGUUAUAUGACACGACACUGUGAUGCAUAGGAGUAUAUAUUUUAGUUAAUAAAAACAAGCGAAAAAUUAAGCAUGGAGCACUUGAAGAUGCACUGGCAACUAAACUGCGCAGCUCUAGGAAGUUAAGGCAAAGCUGAUGUUGGUGCUACAAUAUAUCAAGAAUCAAAUAACAUGUGCUGCUAAAAAGGAAAUUCAAUGGAAGACAACACUGGUGGAGACUACUGAAUGCUAAAAUGAACCUAACAAUAAAUUAAGGGUCAUCCUUUAUUCUCAACUGGGGAAGUUUCAGAAAUUGAAAAGUUGGAGCACUCACGCUAGGGCGGGCGGAUCUGCGUCGGGCCCUCCGUGCUGCC
rnacentral:lncRNA from 1 species